rnacentral:rRNA from 1 species
CAGCCGCCACGGGAAUACAGAGGGUGCAAGCGUUAAUCGGAUUUACUGGGCGUAAAGCGUGUGUAGGUGGCUGUUCAAGUCGGUUGUGAAAGCCCUGGGCUCAACCUGGGAAUUGCUUCCGAGACUGAGCGGCUAGAGUACGGUAGGGGGCGGUGGAAUUUCCGGUGUAGCGGUGAAAUGCGUAGAUAUCGGAAGGAACACCAAUGGCGAAGGCAGCCGCCUGGGCCUGUACUGACACUGAGACACGAAAGCGUGGGGAUCAAACAGGAUUAGAUACCCCUGUAGUCCCUGUCUCUUAUAC